ACCAGUUUGGCUCAGUGGAUAGAGCGUUGGCCUGUCGACUCAAGGGCCGCAGGUUCGAUUCCGGUCAAGGGCA
rnacentral:tRNA from 1 species